GGAAAUCGAUUGCAUAACAAGGGUGUAAGGAAAUCUUAAGUGUUUGUAAAUGUGAAAUCGAUUAGGCAAUCGAUUAGCUUAAUUAAAAAUGAAAACUGCACAAGUCAGUAGCACUCUGAUUUGGAGAGUAAUCGAUUGGGAAAUCGAUUGAACAUUUCACAAAUCAAACCUGAUGGUAACACAUCGAUUGGUAAAUCGAUUGGAUGAGUCACAGUGGCACUCCAGUGCUGAGG
rnacentral:lncRNA from 1 species